rnacentral:rRNA from 1 species
GACGAACGCUGGCGGCGUGCCUAAUACAUGCAAGUAGAACGCUGAAGGAGGAGCUUGCUUCUCUGGAUGAGUUGCGAACGGGUGAGUAACGCGUAGGUAACCUGCCUGGUAGCGGGGGAUAACUAUUGGAAACGAUAGCUAAUACCGCAUAAGAGUAGAUGUUGCAUGACAUUUGCUUAAAAGGUGCAAUUGCAUCACUACCAGAUGGAGCUGCGUUGUAUUAGCUAGUUGGUGGGGUAACGGCUCACCAAGGCAACGAUAGAUAGCCGGCCGGAGAGGGUGGUCGGCCACACUGGGACGGAGACACGGCCCAGACUCCCACGGGAGGCAGCAGUAGGGAAUCUUCGGCAAUGGACGGAAGUCUGACCGAUCAGCGCCGCGUGAGUGAAGAAGGUUUUCGGAUCGUAAAGCUCUGUUGUAAGAGAAGAACGAGUGUGAGAGUGGAAAGUUCACACUGUGAUGGUAUCUUACCAGAAAGGGACGGCUAACUACGUG